rnacentral:rRNA from 1 species
CCUACGGGUGGCAGCAGUGAGGAAUAUUGGUCAAUGGACGAGAGACUGAACCAGCCAAGCCGCGUGAGGGAGGAAGGUACAGCGUAUCGUAAACCUCUUUUUUCGGGGAACAAAAGCGGGGACGUGUCCCCGGCUGCGUAUACCUUACGAAAAAGCAUCGGCUAACUCCGUGCCAGCAGCGGCGGUGAUCGAGAGGGUACGAGCGUUGCCCGGUUUUUUUGGGUUUAGAGGGGGCGCAGGCGGUCGGUUAAGUCAGCGUGCAAAGCCCGGGGUCAACCCCCGGCGCGCCGUUGAAACUGGGAGGCUCGAGUGGGAGAGAAGAAGGCGGAAUGCGAGGUGUAGCGGUGAAAUGCAUAGAUAUCGCGAAGAACUCCGAUGGCGAAGGCAGCAUGCCGGAUCCAAACUGACGCUGAGGCACGAAAGCGUGGGUAUCGAACAGGAUUAGAUACCCCAGUAGUC